rnacentral:rRNA from 1 species
CCUACGGGGGGCUGCAGUCGAGAAUCAUUCACAAUGGGGGAAACCCUGAUGGUGCGACGCCGCGUGGGGGAAUGAAGGUCUUCGGAUUGUAAACCCCUGUCAUGUGGGAGCAAAUUAAAAAGAUCGUACCACACGAGGAAGAGACGGCUAACUCUGUGCCAGCAGCCGCGGUAAUACAGAGGUCUCAAGCGUUGUUCGGAAUCACUGGGCGUAAAGCGUGCGUAGGCUGUUUCGUAAGUCGUGUGUGAAAGGCGCGGGCUCAACCCGCGGACGGCACAUGAUACUGCGAGACUAGAGUAAUGGAGGGGGAACCGGAAUUCUCGGUGUAGCAGUGAAAUGCGUAGAUAUCGAGAGGAACACUCGUGGCGAAGGCGGGUUCCUGGACAUUAACUGACGCUGAGGCACGAAGGCCAGGGGAGCGAAAGGGAUUAGAUACCCGAGUAGUC